CGAGGAAUAUUGCGCAAUGGGGGCAACCCUGACGCAGCAACGCCGCGUGAGUGAGGAAGGUUUUCGGACCGUAAAGCUCUGUCGAGCGGGAAGAAAUGCAUGGUGGCUAAUAUCCAUCAUGCUUGACGGUACCGCUAAAGGAAGCACCGGCUAACUCCGUGCCAGCAGCCGCGGUAAUACGGGGGGUGCGAGCGUUGUUCGGAAUUAUUGGGCGUAAAGAGCGUGUAGGCGGCCGAAUAAGUCAGAUGUGAAAUCCCUGGGCAUAACCCAGGACGUGCAUUUGAAACUAUUCGGCUAGAGUAGGGGAGAGGAAAGUGGAAUUCCUGGUGUAGAGGUGAAAUUCGUAGAUAUCAGGAGGAACACCGGAGGCGAAGGCGACUUUCUGGCCCUAUACUGACGCUGAGACGCGAGAGCGUGGGUAGCAAACAGG
rnacentral:rRNA from 1 species